rnacentral:rRNA from 1 species
UACGUAGGGCGCAAGCGUUGUCCGGAAUUAUUGGGCGUAAAGAGCUCGUAGGCGGUCUGUCACGUCGGCUGUGAAAACCCGGGGCUCAACCCCGGGCCUGCAGUCGAUACGGGCAGACUAGAGUGCGGUAGGGGAGACUGGAAUUCCUGGUGUAGCGGUGAAAUGCGCAGAUAUCAGGAGGAACACCGGUGGCGAAGGCGGGUCUCUGGGCCGUAACUGACGCUGAGGAGCGAAAGCGUGGGGAGCGAACAGG